rnacentral:lncRNA from 1 species
CUCCAAAUGCAAAAUUUCCUUCGCAAAAGAUGUAUGUCUUGAAGUUGCCCUUCCAGCCGCACCUUCCGAUCUUCAAAAGCUUGCGUAAGACUCCUCUUAAACUCAAAAGAGUAACAGUAGAUCUCAAAUUGACACCUUAACUUCAAACGGCUAUAACUUAUGCACCCUAACUUCAAACCCUAUAAAAUUUGUACAAAAAUUGUAGCCAAAAUCCUAAAUGUUACAAC